rnacentral:piRNA from 1 species
UGGAAAGACUCUGAGCCCCUGCACAUCCC